rnacentral:rRNA from 1 species
GACGAACGCUGGCGGCGUGCUUAACACAUGCAAGUCGAACGGAAAGGCCCUGCUUUUGUGGGUUGCUCGAGUGGCGAACGGGUGAGUAACACGUGAGUAACCUGCCCUUGACUUUGGGAUAACUUCAGGAAACUGGGGCUAAUACCGGAUAGGAGCUCCUGCUGCAUUGUGGGGGUGGGAAAGUUUCGGCGGUUGGGGAUGGACUCGCGGCUUAUCAGCUUGUUGGUGGGGUAGUGGCUUACCAAGGCUUUGACGGGUAGCCGGCCUGAGAGGGUGACCGGCCACAUUGGGACUGAGAUACGGCCCAGACUCCUACGGGAGGCAGCAGUGGCGAAUAUUGCACAAUGGGCGGAAGCAUGAUGCAGCAACGCCGCGUGCGGGAUGAAGGCCUUCGGGUUGUAAACCGCUUUCGCCUGUGACGAAGCGUGAGUGACGGUCAUGGGUAAAGAAGCACCGGCUAACUACGUG